rnacentral:misc_RNA from 1 species
GAAAAAUUCAACAUUUAAACUACAGAAAUUUUGGUGCUGAAUAUUCUGCAAGUUGAAAGCACAUAAUAAUUGAUCAACCUAUACCGUGUGCAAAAUAGGAAGGAGGCGAAGAAUCGCGACAAGUACAACUCAUUGCAUAGGUGCCUGAAAAUCAAAAUGUCGCGAGUGCAGCUUAUUUGAAACCAUCCGAUUGUAGGACUUACAAGAUCAAAUUACAUUGAUCUUUACUGCUACCACGGCAGCCCUUGUCAAAAGAGUCUCAAUUCUCAUGUAAACACAUGAAUAUACCAAGAGCUUCCAUUGAGCAUCAGAAUGUGGGAUAAAAAGAAACGAAGACCGACUAUUGACUGUACAACUGGCGGAACGCCCAGAAACUAACAAAUUCUUUGUAUGGAAAUAACUCUGUAAUACUACUACUUUGGAAAAACAAAAGUAAUCCUCUAAUGAUAAAGCAACUACCCAACAUUCCUGCACAAAAUACACAAAACUUGAUGGCAUAAGAAAGGAUGGAUAAAAUUAUACCAAGACCGGCCGGGGCAAUUUUUCUGCACUGAUACUUGGGGUAUCACUUCAUGUAGGCCACUCAUCUGGCACCAUCAGAAAGUAUGUAGACAUUGCUUUCCUGAAUCUUAUUUUGUAUUGCUUUGGAGAAAUCACCGUUGGGGCUGCAUUCUUCGGCCCACCUAGAAUACCUGAAGCCUUUACCCAAGUCUCGAGAUGCUUGUCCCACGUAUACUGUCUCAUGAAAUCAAUAAUACCAAGCACCAGUUCCUGCUUCUUCUCAUCCACCCCAACUAGUAAUGAGUAAUCCAUCACAUCUAUUGACGCUAGAAAUGAAGUAUCAUUCCACACAGCUCUCUGCAGCAGCCGCUUAGCUUGCGUUCCCACAAAAAUCGGAGAAGUUGGCAUUGCUUCAAUC